rnacentral:rRNA from 1 species
CUACGUGCCAGCAGCCGCGGUAAUACGGAGGGUGCGAGCGUUAAUCGGAAUAACUGGGCGUAAAGGGCACGCAGGCGGUGACUUAAGUGAGGUGUGAAAGCCCCGGGCUUAACCUGGGAAUUGCAUUUCAUACUGGGUCGCUAGAGUACUUUAGGGAGGGGUAGAAUUCCACGUGUAGCGGUGAAAUGCGUAGAGAUGUGGAGGAAUACCGAAGGCGAAGGCAGCCCCUUGGGAAUGUACUGACGCUCAUGUGCGAAAGCGUGGGGAGCAAACAGGAUUAGAUACCCUGGUAGUCCACGCUGUAAACGAUGUCGAUUUGGGGGUUGGGCUUAAAGCUUGGUGCCCGUAGCUAACGUGAUAAAUCGACCGCCUGGGGAGUACGGCCGCAAGGUUAAAACUCAAAUGAAUUGACGGGGGCCCGCACAAGCGGUGGAGCAUGUGGUUUAAUUCGAUGCAACGCGAAGAACCUUACCUACUCUUGACAUCCAGA